CCAAUCAGCUAUCCUGACCUUAACCACUCAAGGUCAAAUGCCUGACCCAACCAAUCGAGCUGCUUCGUAGGGCGGGUCUUGGCGUGGCCAUAGUGGGAUUUACAAUUUUGCAAACUGGGAUGCAAGUAACGCAAAUGAAGAUUCACA